rnacentral:rRNA from 1 species
GUCUGUAUGAAGUUAUAUAGAGUCUGGCCUGCCCAUUGAAGAAAUUUAAAAGGCCGCGGUAUAUUAACUGUGCAAAGGUAGCAUAAUCAUUAGUUUUUUAAUUGGAGGCUUGUAUGAAUGGUCCGACAAAGUAAAAGCUGUCUUUAAUUUUUUUUUUUGAAAUUAACUUUUAAGUGAAAAGGCUUAAAUAAAUUUAAGGGACGAUAAGACCCUAUAAAUCUUUAUAUUAAUUUGUUAUUUUUAAAUUUAAUAGAUUUUUUGUUUAGAAAAUAAAUAAACAAAUAAUAUUUUAUUGGGGUGAUGAGAAUAUAAAAAAAUAACUGUUCUUAUAUUAAACAAAGUUGUUUGUUAAGUAAAAAAAAUAGUAGAUCCUUUAUUAAGAUUAAAAGUUUAAGUUACUUUAGGGAUAACAGCGUUAUUUUUUUUGAGAGUUCAUAUCGAAAAAAAAGUUUGCGACCUCGAUGUUGAAUUAAAAUUUCUCUACGGUGUAGAAGUUGUAGGAGAAAGUCUGUUCGACUUUU